rfam:Pseudomonas syringae strain GAW0119 contig33.1, whole genome shotgun sequence.
CCACGCUGGCCGGAAGCCGAUAUUGAUUUGGCGGGCAAACCGGCAUGGAUGCCGGUUUAGCCGCGCUGGGCCAGGGAUGGCCCUUCGCGGCGGGCCCGCCGAAUCAAUGUCGGAUUACGGGUAUGCCGA